UACGUAGGGUGCAAGCGUUAUCCGGAAUUAUUGGGCGUAAAGAGCUCGUAGGCGGUUUGUCGCGUCUGCUGUGAAAACUGGAGGCUCAACCUCCAGCCUGCAGUGGGUACGGGCAGACUAGAGUGCGGUAGGGGAGAUUGGGAUUCCUGGUGUAGCGGUGGAAUGCGCAGAUAUCAGGGAGGAACACCGAUGGCGAAGGCAGACGUCUCUGGGCCGUAACUGACGCUGAGGAGCGAAAGCAUGGGGAGCGAACAGG
rnacentral:rRNA from 1 species